rnacentral:piRNA from 1 species
GAAGGAGAGAGAAUUCACAGAAC